UUACAAUCGUCUUUUUUCGGAACUGUUCUCUUGACAAACAAAUAAUAAAGACAAAAGGGAACAUGCAAGGAAGCGAGCGGUUUUUCUUGUCUCUUGCAUUUCUCGUCAGUUGCAUUUUUAGUUCUGAAAAGUGAAGUUCGUGCCACGUGUUUUGAAAAAGUUUGUUGCUUUCUGCCACCAAUUUUACAUCAAUAUUUUCACAGAAUCGCAAAAAAUGAAUGGGCACACCAAGGACUGAACUGCGUAAAUGACAAAAGUACAUAAACAAGAAGGAAGCACCAAAGCACCGUACAGAAGGGGAGUUACUCCGAUUAAAAAUUAGUUGCGUUUUUGAAUAUUGAAAUGAAAAUAAAUAUGAAAUUGAAAUCCA